UACGUAGGGUGCAAGCGUUGUCCGGAAUUAUUGGGCGUAAAGAGCUCGUAGGCGGUUUGUUGCGUCGGCUGUGAAAUCCCGAGGCUCAACCUCGGGUCUGCAGUCGAUACGAGCAAACUAGAGUGUUGCAGGGGAGACUGGAAUUCCUGGUGUAGCGGUGAAAUGCGCAGAUAUCAGGAGGAACACCGGUGGCGAAGGCGGGUCUCUGGGCAACACUGACGCUGAUGAGCGAAAGCCAGGGGAGCAAACGGG
rnacentral:rRNA from 1 species